rnacentral:rRNA from 1 species
GCGACGCCGCGUGAGGGAUGACGGCCUUCGGGUUGUAAACCUCUUUCAGCAGGGAAGAAGCCACAAGUGACGGUACCUGCAGAAGAAGCGCCGGCUAACUACGUGCCAGCAGCCGCGGUAAUACGUAGGGCGCAAGCGUUGUCCGGAAUUAUUGGGCGUAAAGAGCUCGUAGGCGGUUUGUCGCGUCUGCUGUGAAAGCCCGGGGCUCAACCCCGGGUCUGCAGUGGGUACGGGCAGACUAGAGUGCAGUAGGGGAGACUGGAAUUCCUGGUGUAGCGGUGAAAUGCGCAGAUAUCAGGAGGAACACCGAUGGCGAAGGCAGGUCUCUGGGCUGUUACUGACGCUGAGGAGCGAAAGCAUGGGGAGCGAACAGGAUUAGAUACCCUGGUAGUCCAUGCCGUAAACGUUGGGCACUAGGUGUGGGGGACAUUCCACGUUCUCCGCGCCGUAGCUAACGCAUUAAGUGCC